AUUGCGAUGAAGAGCUCACAGGCUGGGCGUCCUCUCGGCAGCUCCGGAGAUGACGGUGAGCAGGUUGUUGCCGAAGGGGUCGCUGAGGUGCGCAGAGAGGUUCUCAACGGGGCCCUCGCCAGUGACGUAUGCCUGGAUGAAGAAACCCAGCAUGGAGAACAUGGCUAGCCGGCCGUUCUUGAUCUCCUUCACCUUGAGCAGCGCCGCCUGGUCGGGGUCGCUGGCGAGGCCGAGCGGGUCGAAUGGGCCACCGGGGUGGAGCUUGUCCUCAAGAUCCUGCCGGAGAAAUUGAUGAAAACCGUUGGUCAGUACAAAGUUCCUAAUUGCAGCUCAACUUAUGUAUAUGUUUGAGGUGUUACUGUCACUGACAAGGCCGUUGAUGAUCCUGUAGUACUCGGCGCCUCCGACGAGGACAACCUCGGCGACGACGGCGAGGAUGAGGUUGAUGGGGAUGCUGUUGCCGAAGUAGUUGAGGGUGUUGCCGUCCAGGAGAAGAGCGCCGGUCUGCAUAUGUGUUUGUUCAUGGCACCGUGAGUUUAAACUUCAGAGUUCUGAAUCUGAAUCUGAAUGUGUGAAUACUGAUGAGCAAUUACCUUGAACCAGACGGCCUCGGGACCGCAGUUGGCGCCGAACUUGUUGCACGCCUCGGGGAUGAUGAAGCCGGCAGCGCCGAGCAUGGCCCAUCUGGCAUGGAUCAGCUCAUAGGCCUGGUACCUGAAGAAUAAGGUGUGGGAAAGGAUUACUUAGUUGAUAGAAUAUUUUGUUUAGAGUGAGACCGUAGGUUAACAAUUUUAGGUCUGUAUUUGCAAAAUGCAGAUCACUACUUACUUGGUGAAGUCAUCUGGCUUCUUGCUCAGACCGAAAGGAUCAUAGCCAUAGCUGAAAGUCCAAAGGGAAACAAAUAGGUCAGUUCAGUUGCAUAUAUAAUCUUAGUCUCUUAGUUUUGCAUGAGCAUUUCAGUAAUAUGAGCAGUGAGGCAAUGCUGCAAAGGGAAGACAACUUUAAUUCAAAUAGUCUGAAAGAUUCGAGAAAACAGUGGCAUUUCCACAAAGAUGAAAACUAAUUUAUGCUACACUGCUCACUACAGAACUAGCAAAAUAGGUACGAGUACCAUAUCCAUAUAAAUUUGCCGUAGUACUAAAUUACUACUACAGUUCAAAGGAUGGUUAAAUUGUGGAGGGUAAAAAUGGAAGCAUAUGACUUACUCUCCAGGAACCUCUCCGUUGAGGUACUCUGGCACCUCUGACCGGUCAAGGAGACCGUCCGGCAAGAAGAUCCUCCUGUCAGGGCCUGAAAACAAGAUUAAAAAAAUAGUACUUAGGUAUGUAUGAAUUUUCAGAACAAAUUAAUUACCUGAAAUGUGUUCAAUCUCAUAUGGAAGUUUUCUUUGUACUCACCAUACCACUUGGCGAGCUCGUCGUCGAUGUCUGCGCCCGAGGAGGAUACUGGGGCGGGCUUCGGCUUCGCAGCGGGCUUUUUGUUGAAGCCCCCGAAGAGGGAGACAAUCUUCUUCGCCCCAGCGGUCGGUGCCGCCGUGGUGUAGCUGGAGGAGCCGGUGAAGUUGAGCCGGGUGCCCAGCAUCUUCGUGGGAGCGAGCGCCGCCAUUACCUCAGGCCCAAAGUUCACAGAGAGGUGUGCUCAGCUCAGCAGGAAAGGUGUGAUGGGCGUUUGUGGAGGGAAAGGUGGGGUAGUUUAAAUGGAUGGAAAUGAGGAUUGGAGGAUGUUGUGGGCCCAGGCAAGAUUGGGCCAAAGGGGUUG
rnacentral:lncRNA from 1 species